rnacentral:rRNA from 1 species
UAAUUGAAGAGUUUGAUCAUGGCUCAGAUUGAACGCUGGCGGCAGGCCUAACACAUGCAAGUCGGGCGGUAACAGGGAGAAGCUUGCUUCUCUGCUGACGAGCGGCGGACGGGUGAGUAAUGUAUGGGGAUCUGCCUGAUGGCGGGGGAUAACUACUGGAAACGGUAGCUAAUACCGCAUAAUGUCUUCGGACCAAAGCGGGGGACCU